rnacentral:lncRNA from 1 species
CUAGAUCAAAGGCUGAACAUUUUGCUUUAGUAUAGAUGAGGGAAAUGAGCAAGUCCUAAAAGGUUUGCCCUGUUACGGUGUUUCAUCACUCAUACUGGAAGGAGAAGGAAAGGAGCCAUAUGACUCAUUUAAAAGAAAAACUGAUCUGACACAUCCUCUUGGUUUCCUAAGUCUUAUGACUAGCCAAUGCCUGAAAUAAUGAACUCCUCCAAGGCAAGAAAUCUGUUUUGAAGCUUCUCUGCGUUCACACACAGCAGCCUGGUUUCCUGGAAGGGCAUUUUCCACAUUGUGCGUUAUGGAUGAUCAUCCCAGGCAUCAGGUGUGAAGCCCUGCAUCCACAUCCAGGGGCUAUCAAAUCUCUCUGCAAAAGGAGAAGCUGGACUCAGGGUAUGCACAGAUGUGGAAACAGGAACUGAUGUGUCCAUUACACCACUAGGACAGAGGCCAGAACAAUGAAGAAACCAAAUACUUGGAAGAGGGUAGAGAUAAUGAAUGGAGUCCAAGAGCCCUGAUUGUGCCAUAAAUGUCCAGAUAAUUCCAUACCUGAGGAUUAUGUGGUUUGUAAACUUGGCACUUAGAAGAACCAAUAAAAUCAUGUUAUAGUUUCAACCGGGUCUAGUUACCUUUCCUCUUAGUUGUGACUGUCUAUAUCCUAACUGACACAGGCUCUCGUGCCAUGUCUAAUACUAAGGCAUCCAUGGCAAGCGCUUUUCCAGUAGCACUAGGGAACAAUCUAUCCCAAUUUUUCACGCACAUAGAAUUGUCAUUAAGAACAAACACCCAUUUGAAAGAUGUUUGGCCUGGGUUAGACAAAUGGUCUCUGACUGUGAGGUGCAAUAAAGUGAACUGGGGCGUACAGAAAGCAAACCUACAACACUGUUUAGUUGUUGAGACUCAUGGAGCAAUUGAGUUAAAGCUACUUGUGCCACAAU